GACGAACGCUGGCGGCGUGCUUAACACAUGCAAGUCGAACGGAAAGGCCCUGCUUUUGUGGGGUGCUCGAGUGGCGAACGGGUGAGUAACACGUGAGUAACCUGCCCUUGACUUUGGGAUAACUUCAGGAAACUGGGGCUAAUACCGGAUAGGAGCUCCUGCUGCAUGGUGGGGGUUGGAAAGUUUCGGCGGUUGGGGAUGGACUCGCGGCUUAUCAGCUUGUUGGUGGGGUAGUGGCUUACCAAGGCUUUGACGGGUAGCCGGCCUGAGAGGGUGACCGGCCACAUGGGGACUGGGAUAGGGCCCAGACCCCAAGGGGGGGCAGCGGGGGGGAAUUUUGCAAAAUGGGCGGAAGCCGGAUGCAGCAACGCCGGGUGGGGGAUGCCGGCCUUGGGGUUGUAAACCGCUUUCGCCUGUGACGAAGCGUGGGUGACGGUAAUGGGGAAAGAAGCACCGGCUAACUACGU
rnacentral:rRNA from 1 species